AUUGAACGCUGGCGGCAGGCCUAACACAUGCAAGUCGAACGGUAACAGGAAGAAGCUUGCUUCUUUGCUGACGAGUGGCGGACGGGUGAGUAAUGUCUGGGAAACUGCCUGAUGGAGGGGGAUAACUACUGGAAACGGUAGCUAAUACCGCAUAACGUCGCAAGACCAAAGAGGGGGACCUUCGGGCCUCUUGCCAUCGGAUGCGCCCAGAUGGGAUUAGCUAGUAGGUGGGGUAACGGCUCACCUAGGCGACGAUCCCUAGCUGGUCUGAGAGGAUGACCAGCCACACUGGAACUGAGACACGGUCCAGACUCCUACGGGAGGCAGCAGUGGGGAAUAUUGCACAAUGGGCGCAAGCCUGAUGCAGCCAUGCCGCGUGUAUGAAGAAGGCCUUCGGGUUGUAAAGUACUUUCAGCGGGGAGGAAGGGAGUAAAGUUAAUACCUUUGCUCAUUGACGUUACCCGCAGAAGAAGCACCGGCUAACUCCGU
rnacentral:rRNA from 1 species